UUGAAAUAAACCUGAUGAGUUGCUGCUGGUUCUCUAGGGAACAUGUGCACACUUGUCAUUUUUAUAUUUCCACCUGUGCACUUUUUGUAGACUUGGAUAUCUUUCUGAAUGCUUUUUUGUAGCAUGUCAGGUUUGAGGAUUGACUUUAUUGUCUGUCUUUACAUUUCCAGGUCUAUGUUCCUUCAAUAUACCCUAAUGUAUGUUAUAGAAUGUAGUAAGUGGGCCUUUGUGCCUAUAAACCUUAUA
rnacentral:misc_RNA from 1 species